UACGUAGGGUGCAAGCGUUUAAUCGGAAUUACUGGGCGUAAAGCGUGCGCAGGCGGCUAUGCAAGGCAGAUGUGAAAUCCCCGGGCUUAACCUGGGAACUGCAUUUGUGACUGCAUGGCUAGAGUACGGUAGAGGGGGAUGGAAUUCCGCGUGUAGCAGUGAAAUGCGUAGAUAUGCGAAGGAACACCGAUGGCGAAGGCAAUCCCCUGGACCUGUACUGACGCUCAUGCACGAAAGCGUGGGGAGCAAACAGG
rnacentral:rRNA from 1 species